UUUUCAUGCCGAACGCUUCCGUAACCGCUUUCCCGCGCGUUUGCAGUCAACAGCGCCACCUCAAUAGACGUGGCUAAUUUCGGAACACACACAUGUCAUGGAAUGCUGCUCAGUGUGCGCGUGUCUUGUUUGUUUUCGUUUGCCUAUCUAGUUUACAGUGAACAGUAAAACAAAGUUUAAAAAUUUAUAAAGAAAUUAAAUCAUAAGUGAUCAAGGGGCAUGUUGAGAUCCAGUUGAACAGAUCAAUUUUGUUAAUUGUUAUAGACGCAGUUGCUAAGAAGAUGAAUAAGAAAAAUGGAUAUCAAUCUGACGAUGAUAACAUAAGAUACAAGCUUAAUACUCAAUACUUCAAUAAUAAUUUAAAAUCCCCUAACAAACAUAAAAAAGAGAAACAGAAAAUUAUUGAUGAUGAUGAAGUUCGCUACAAAUUUCCAACAGUACUAAAUAGGACAAAACCAGCUGAGAAUAAACCAAAACCCAAACAAAAAAUUAAAGUCAAUUUCUGGAGUAACAAACAAACCAGUAACCGAUUACACAAUGUGGAUCCAAAAAGCAAAACAAACAGACGACACACAGUGGGCGCACCAAACCUGGAUAAAAGUGAUAAAGUGGUCAAAGUACGUAAACGGGUGUCAUUUUUACCAUCACCAAUAUUUUCUGAAAACCAUAUACCAAUGGUAACUGUGCCAGAUGACUUAACCAUACAACUUAAUGAAGAAGAAGCCAAUGACUUAGGUGAAGAUUUAAACCAAGCGUUUGUCAACAAUGGGACUAAGGUUUCUAAGAGAAAGUCUUUAAAUUCAGAAAACCAAAUGAGUACAAAGCAUAAAAAGAAGCAAGAUUCAGAACCUCGAAUCCAGGGCAAUGAAACUGAAUUAGAAUUUUUCUCAAAGUAUGUUGUACAAAAACUUAGAAAAAUGGAAACUAAUCAGCGUAUUUAUUCAGAGAAUUUAAUAAACACUGUAUUAAUGUUGGGACAGCUUGGAAAAUUGAAUGGAAAGUCAAAGAUAGCUGAAGUAUAAUUUGAUCAUAAUAUAUUUUAAGCAUAAAAUUUAAGCAUAAAAAGUAUAAAAUAAACAUAGUAUAUUAAGAGAAAGACUAACUUUUGAGAAAUCAUGUGCCUAUUGUACAAUUUGUAUGUAUUUAUAACUUAAAACAAAAAUAAGUAAGUCGCAUCACAAUUUUCUGCAGUUGAUACUACAUACAGUAUAAAACUAAUGAUCUAUAAACAGAUCUCAGUUGAGUUGGCAAUAUAUUUGUUACCGCUAAUCAUAGUUAAGUGUAAAUUAAAUAGUCUAUAUUUAUUAAGAUUACAAUGUAUAAGAGAUCUUAUGUACUAACAGUGAACAAUCUUAAAGCUUGGAGUGUUUAAAAUUUGAAUAAUCUUAACAUUGCGAAUCAUUUUAAUCUUUGCAAAUAAUGCUCUGCUAAUUUUGGGGGGAAAUAUUACAUUAAACAUUUUUUAUUCUUCUAUUCUGUUGGGUGAAUUUUACUUUAUUUACACAUUAGAUAAUUAAUCUACUAUUAACUCUAAAAGUCUGAGACCAUCGUCAUGUUUAUAAUUUCUGUUCAGUAAUUUAAUAAAAAAUACUAUUUUAUGGGUCUAAUACUAAUAUCACAUUUAAUUAUACAAACUGUAAUUUUGUCAAUGGCUCAAUUAUAUUGAAAUUACUGUUCUAUCACUUGAGAAUUUAUGUUAUCAACCUACUUUGGCGAUUCUGAUUGCUUUUAGGGCUGAAAGUUAUCUAAUUUGUUUUAACUAAUUACUGACAUACAACCACAAAUUGUACCAAUACUUGCAUCUAUUGUAAAAAAUUUACUCUCUUGUAUUAAAAAUAUUGCAACACUUGCAAAUAUUUGGUGUUAAGAUUUGACACACUGCACAAAUUUCAUUAAAUAAUUAUCUUAACAUUAUCAUAAGAAAAACUUUGUAAUUUAAACUAGCAUAAUUUCUAGAUAAUUAAAUCAAUUCAAACUAUAUUGUUAUGAAAUAGAUUUGAUGUUUAUAUCACUUAUGUUACAUGUUGACCAUCACCAUACUGUGCCUUAUGUCACUAAAUAACUUUUUCUUUAGCUGACGAAAUGAAAUGGGAUAUAAAUAGAGAAAAAAAUAUUAUACAGUAAAUGUGCCAAUUCAUUAUUAGAUUUGACAAAACCUUUCAAUCAUUUUCGUUUGAAGAAAUAUUAUCUUUUACAUAAUAUGGUACAAAGGAAUUGAAAAAACGUUUUACAUUUACCCUAAAAUAGUGCAAUGUUACGAAAUGUGAAUAUUUUCAUAUUACAUAUUAUUAUGUGUGUGUUAUUAUGAAUAUCUUUGUUCAAUAUCAACUGUAAAAACGAAAUUAAGUAUACAUUUAUAAAUCGUGCAAUAAAAAUGAAAUAGGUGUAGGAUGGCGUAUUUUUAGUGGUUUGCGUUUUUUUUUGACAGAGAUUACAUACAUCACUAUUUUAUUUAUACUAUGGGAUCAUUUAACACUUAUAUUCAAGAGUAUAUUUUAAAAUUUUCAAAUAUAUUUCCCUCAAAAAGUAACGGACAUAUCAAGGGCAAUAAAAAAAAAAAUGUCGCCUAUUAAAUCAAUUUCGAAAACUUACUGGUUAAUCGGCUAUUCCGGCAUUAUAUGCAGUCCUUCGUCAGCUUCAUAUGCAUCAUUUUCAACUUUCAGCUUUUCGAGCUUCUUUACUGUCGCUAAAGGUGAGUCUUAUAUAACCUCUUUAUCUUCGCAGAGACCAGUACCGAUGUGCAUAUAAUUAAAAAAAAACAAAUUCAAACCUCGGCCAACCCCUAAGGAACGCAUGACAAAUACUAUUCGACAAUUUUUUUCAAAUCGAUUAUUAAUAAAAGGACAUGACGGGGUGUUUGUGAACCGCACUUAUAAGGGACAUCCAUCUUAAACCAGAGGCCACGUUUACCUGUUUAAAAUGUUUUUAUGGCCUGCUUGUAAUUUCGAUGCAUAAUUAUUUGUGACAAAGCCGUUAAGACAGUGAAAAACUCUAUUUAAAAGAUUUUUUAAUUACUAUAUUAAGGUGAUUUUACAUGAAAUGAUCUCUUACGAGAUCAACUACUCCGAGUUGAAGUAUCGUGCCCGUUCUUCGGAUACCCAGACAUUUCAUGUAUAAACGAAACUUAUUCGAUGAAGAUCGUUUUAAAACUUAUGCUUCGUCACGGGUCUCUAAUUCUUCUAGAAAUUUCUAUCAACGGUCUAUUGUUCUAAGAAAUAAAAGAACUACCUACUAACGUUCUUUUUCUUUCCAAUACAUUUUAAAUCGUUGAUGAACGAAGGACCGAAGAACGCUCGCUCAAACGUUUAUAAUUUUUAAACGUGGAAUUGAUUUGAAAAUUUCAGAAUAUAUUUUUGAAUAGUUCUCCAUCGAUUUAUAACAACAAAAAUUUAAGCUUCUACACCUAUUUCCAUCCUUAGAAAUCCAAUCAUAUUUGUCAGGUUUUAAAGAUGUUUUUUUCAUUCGCACAGCAUUUUUCGUAGUAGAUCUAAAUAACAUGACAUCAUGUGUUGACGAAAAUAUAAAAUAUAUUUUUGACUUAUUUUUUCAUUGCUCGUAAAUAUAAUACAUAAAAAUUGUCAUGAAGAUUGUACAUUUUUACAAGGCAUGUUUUAUGGCCUUGUAUGAAAUAAAUAAAUAAAAAACUUUAAUUUAAAA